UUUUGGUGUGUAUUGUGAAAUUGAAGACGCAGCGGGAUUAGAGCGGGUAGUCCUGCAGGUCAGGAGGAUCAUGGCGGAGAUCGUGCGGAUUAGAGUAUUUGUUUUAGUUUUACAGCCUUGUAAAUUGUGAAGUGAGUGAUGCUCAAUUUGAGCUUUACAAAUUUACUUUGUACAAGUGAGUUGUAUUAAUUAAACUGAAGUUUUCGA